rnacentral:rRNA from 1 species
CACGUAGGGCGCAAGCGUUGUCCGGAAUUAUUGGGCGUAAAGAGCUCGUAGGCGGUCUGUUGCGUCCGCUGUGAAAACUCGGGGCUUAACCCCGAGCCUGCAGUGGAUACGGGCAGACUAGAGGUAGGUAGGGGAGAAUGGAAUUCCCGGUGUAGCGGUGAAAUGCGCAGAUAUCGGGAGGAACACCGGUGGCGAAGGCAGGUCUCUGGGCCAUUACUGACACUGAGAAGCGAAAGCAUGGGGAGCGAACAGG